UUACGGGUGGCAGCAGUGGGGAAUAUUGGACAAUGGGCGAAAGCCUGAUCCAGCCAUGCCGCGUGUGUGAAGAAGGCCUUCGGGUUGUAAAGCACUUUCAGUGGGGAAGAAAGCCUUGGGGCUAAUACCCUCGAGGAAGGACAUCACCCACAGAAGAAGCACCGGCUAACUCCGUGCCAGCAGCCGCGGUAAUACGGAGGGUGCGAGCGUUAAUCGGAAUUACUGGGCGUAAAGCGCGCGUAGGCGGUCUGAUAAGCCGGUUGUGAAAGCCCCGGGCUCAACCUGGGAACGGCAUCCGGAACUGUCAGGCUAGAGUGCAGGAGAGGAAGGUAGAAUUCCCGGUGUAGCGGUGAAAUGCGUAGAGAUCGGGAGGAAUACCAGUGGCGAAGGCGGCCUUCUGGACUGACACUGACGCUGAGGUGCGAAAGCGUGGGUAGCAAACAGGAUUAGAUACCCCUGUAGUC
rnacentral:rRNA from 1 species